rnacentral:rRNA from 1 species
UACACUCCUACGGGAGGCAGCAGUGGGGAAUAUUGCACAAUGGGCGCAAGCCUGAUGCAGCCAUGCCGCGUGUAUGAAGAAGGCCUUCGGGUUGUAAAGUACUUUCAGCGGGGAGGAAGGCGAUAAGGUUAAUAACCUUGUUGAUUGACGUUACCCGCAGAAGAAGCACCGGCUAACUCCGUGCCAGCAGCCGCGGUAAUACGGAGGGUGCAAGCGUUAAUCGGAAUUACUGGGCGUAAAGCGCACGCAGGCGGUCUGUCAAGUCGGAUGUGAAAUCCCCGGGCUCAACCUGGGAACUGCAUUCGAAACUGGCAGGCUAGAGUCUUGUAGAGGGGGGUAGAAUUCCAGGUGUAGCGGUGAAAUGCGUAGAGAUCUGGAGGAAUACCGGUGGCGAAGGCGGCCCCCUGGACAAAGACUGACGCUCAGGUGCGAAAGCGUGGGGAGCAAACAGGAUUAGAAACCCUAGUAGUCCCA